CCUACGGGCGGCAGCAGUGGGGAAUAUUGGACAAUGGGGGGAACCCUGAUCCAGCCAUGCCGCGUGUGUGAAUAAGGCCCUCGGGUUGUAAAGCACUUUCAGUGAGGAAGAACGCCUGGUGGUUAAUACCCAUCAGGAAAGACAUCACUCACAGAAGAAGCACCGGCUAACUCCGUGCCAGCAGCCGCGGUAAUACGGAGGGUGCGAGCGUUAAUCGGAAUUACUGGGCGUAAAGCGCGCGUAGGUGGCUUGAUAAGCCGGUUGUGAAAGCCCCGGGCUCAACCUGGGAACGGCAUCCGGAACUGUCAAGCUAGAGUGCAGGAGAGGAAGGUAGAAUUCCCGGUGUAGCGGUGAAAUGCGUAGAGAGCGGGAGGAAUACCAGUGGCGAAGGCGGCCUUCUGGACUGACACUGACACUGAGGUGCGAAAGCGUGGGUAGCAAACAGGAUUAGAUACCCUGGUAGUC
rnacentral:rRNA from 1 species